GUGUUCAAUUAAAGGAGACAUGGUUGGUAUCUCCCCUGACGGGGUUGGGAACUGUCCUUCCCUUCUAACACACAGAUAAAGUUUAUAUCUAUUUUGUAUAUUUAUUUUGUUUGAUUGU